UACGAAGGGGGCUAGCGUUGCUCGGAAUCACUGGGCGUAAAGGGUGCGUAGGCGGGUUUUUAAGUCAGGGGUGAAAUCCUGGAGCUCAACUCCAGAACUGCCUUUGAUACUGAGAAGCUUGAGUCCGGGAGAGGUGAGUGGAACUGCGAGUGUAGAGGUGAAAUUCGUAGAUAUUCGGAAGAACACCAGUGGCGAAGGCGGCUCACUGGACUGGUAUUGACGCUGAGGUGCGAAAGCGUGGGGAGCAAACAGG
rnacentral:rRNA from 1 species